AGUCAUGCAAAACACAAGCAGGAUGCCAGCUCAGCUCUGCCAGGCUGACAAAGCAGAAGUUAUGCAAAACAACAACAUUGUGCUUGCUCAAAAGUUGAGGUAGAGGAACAGCCACCUAGAAAGAACACCAGACUUUGAAGACAGACCCCAAAGAACCAAAGCUUUGUGCUGAGCAGUGCUUCAGUUGCCCAGGAGUUCCCAUAACUCUCCAGAAGGCUACUGCAGGAAAAACCAGCAGCAGACACAGACUCCUGCUUCCUGACAUCCUCAUAUAAGUGAGCAGUGGCUGAAAUGAGCUUUUUUUCCUCCCGGUUUGAGAUUAGGAAACCAGCUCACCAUGGACAGAGAGACUUUGCUGAUCAGAGAGCCUUCAGUAUUCCAGCAGUAAGUGGUUCCUGAAAGAGGCCAGUGGCUGU
rnacentral:lncRNA from 1 species